UUGAGGAAAGGAGAGGCUAAAAAUUCUGCCUUCCCUCCUGAAGCCAGCCAGGCUCUUUAUGGUGGGGGAAGGACAGAUUUAUUUAUUUGCACUCUUCUGAAAUAAAAGUUCUCCAUCCUCCCUCCUGGCUGCAGUUGGGAGGGCCCCGUGGGUGGGCUCUGUGAUGUGGCACACGGUACCCAGGGCAGGGCUGGGAAGGGUGGGGUGCAGGGGCCUCCCUGGCUGCAGGGCCCACCCACCAGGUGCCUGGGCUUACUGCACUAAGCAGGCAUGGGCUCCGGCCCCCCUCACUGUCCCUUCCAGGCCCAGCCUGUGUUCAGGACCCAGGACAGGGUCUGACCAGCAGGCCCCAGGCCUCCAAGGCGUUCUCAGCCUCUUGAGUGAGUGUGAUGAUGAGCACUCAUGGAGCUUCCUGCAUGCUGGGCCCUGGGCUUCUGAGAGGGCCACAGGGUGGAGACUGAGUCACGAGGUGGAGGGCCAGUCCCAGGGACUCCAGGUGACCUCGUGUCGGCACCACACCCUUCUCCCAUGGGCAGUCCUGGGCGCCCCUUCCUGGCCUUGGGCCCAGCGGCCUGUGGCCUGACCCCAUCCACUCCUGCUUGGUUGU
rnacentral:lncRNA from 1 species